rnacentral:rRNA from 1 species
GAUGAACGCUGGCGGCGUGCCUAAUACAUGCAAGUCGAGCGAACGGACGAGAAGCUUGCUUCUCUGAUGUUAGCGGCGGACGGGUGAGUAACACGUGGAUAACCUACCUAUAAGUCUGGGAUAACUUCGGGACACCGGAGCUAAUACCGGAUAAUAUUUUGAACCGCAUGGUUCAAAAGUGAAAGACGGUCUUUCUGUCACUUCUCGCUGGUUCCGCGCUGCAUUAGCUAGUUGGUAAGGUAACGGCUUACCAAGGCUACGAUGCAUAGCCGACCUGAGAGGGGGAUCGGCGACACUGGAACUGAGACACGGUCCAGACUCCUGCGGGAGGCAGCAGUAGGGAAUGUUCCGCAAUGGGCGAAAGCCUGACGGAGCAACGCCGCGUGAGUGAUGAAGGUCUUCGGAUCGUAAAACUCUGUUAUUAGGGAAGAACAUAUGUGUAAGUAACUGUGCACAGCUUGACGGUACCUAAUCAGAAAGCCACGGCUAACUACGUG